rnacentral:rRNA from 1 species
AGAGUUUGAUCAUGGCUCAGGAUUAACGCUGGCGGUAUGCCUAACACAUGCAAGUCGAACGGAAUACUAAUUAAGAGAAUCUCACACUAGUGAGAGGUUCUCACGAGUAGUAUUUAGUGGCGGACGGGUGAGUAACACGUUGGAACCUGCCCCGAAGUGGGGAAUAACUGCUCGAAAGAGUAGCUAAUACCCCAUAGUAUCCGGUUUAUCCGGAUUAAAGAUUUAUCGCUUCGGGAGGGGCCUGCGUCUGAUUAGCUAGUUGGUGAGGUAAAAGCUCACCAAGGCGACGAUCAGUAGCUGGUUCGAGAGGAUGACCAGCCACACUGGGACUGAGAUACGGCCCAGACUCCUACGGGAGGCAGCAGUGAGGAAUCUUCCACAAUGGGCGCAAGCCUGAUGGAGCUAUACCGCGUGCAGGAAGACGCUUUUCGGAGUGUAAACUGCUUUUGUCGUCGAAGAUUAUGACUGUAGACGAAGAAUAAGGACCGGCUAACUACGUG